UUCAGUUUAUUCAACUAGUUGAGUGCAAUGACUGGCGCAUUCCAUUUUUAAAAAACAUAGUACUUGAAAAAGAAGGAAAGUUUGUUUUCUUCUUCCAAUCUAUAAAUAAGCGACAUGUGAAAAGAUAAGAUCUACUAGUCCUAAAAUUCUAAAGCCAUGGUGACCAGAAACACUCAGUUCAGUUCACGAGCUCCAGAAAGUUUAUUAGUUUAUUAGUGCAAUACAUUUGAUUUAAAAGAAAGCAUUGCUUGAUGCAUGCUAUUUUUGGCUAGCAAGUACAUUUAACAUUUUUAACUCAGAAAUAAUUUUAAUUUUUAUACACUUAUUGGCAUUCCAAUUCCCAUCCAAACAGAGUUUGAUAAAGGGCAUACUCAAUUGUAAUUGACAUUCUGUGAGGCUUUCCAGCUUCAAGAAUCAUUCCCAGGUAUGGCCUGAGAGCCAGAUGUGGCAUACCAGCCAGCACUGCUCCUUUGAGAUGACCCUUAAGGGGUGAAUCUUUGAGGACCCCCCAAACUGGAGUUUAGAGUUG